UACUAGGUAAAGGAGUACUAACUGC
rnacentral:piRNA from 1 species